GACGAACCGUGCGAACGUUGUUCGGAAUCACUGGGCUUAAAGGGCGCGUAGGCGGGCUCGCCAGUCAGGGGUGAAAGCCCACGGCUCAACCGUGGAAGUGCCUUUGAUACUGCGAGUCUCGAGGAAGGUAGGGGCGUGCGGAACUUCCGGUGGAGCGGUGAAAUGCGUAGAUAUCGGAAGGAACACCGGUGGCGAAAGCGGCGCGCUGGACCUCUACUGACGCUGAGGCGCGAAAGCCAGGGGAGCAAACAGG
rnacentral:rRNA from 1 species